UACAGAGGGGGCAAGCGUUGUUCGGAAUUACUGGGCGUAAAGGGCGCGUAGGCGGCCUUCUAAGUCGAACGUGAAAUCCCCGGGCUCAACCCGGGAACUGCGUCCGAUACUGGAAGGCUUGAAUCCGGGAGAGGGAUGCGGAAUUCCAGGUGUAGCGGUGAAAUGCGUAGAUAUCUGGAGGAACACCGGUGGCGAAGGCGGCAUCCUGGACCGACAUGACGCUGAGGAGCGAAAGCCAGGGGAGCAAACGGG
rnacentral:rRNA from 1 species